rnacentral:rRNA from 1 species
AUUGAACGCUGGCGGCAGGCUUAACACAUGCAAGUCGAGCGGAGAGAGGUAGCUUGCUACUGAUCUUAGCGGCGGACGGGUGAGUAAUGCUUAGGAAUCUGCCUAUUAGUGGGGGACAACAUUUCGAAAGGAAUGCUAAUACCGCAUACGUCCUACGGGAGAAAGCAGGGGAUCUUCGGACAUUGCGCUAAUAGAUGAGCCUAAUUCGGAUUAGCUAGUUGGUGGGGUAAAGGCCUACCAAGGCGACGAUCGGUAGCGGGUCUGAGAGGAGGAUCCGCCACACUGGGACUGAGACACGGCCCAGGCUCAUACGGGAGGCAGCAGUGGGGAAUAUUGGACAAUGGGCGCAAGCCUGAUACAGCCAUGCCGCGUGUGUGAAGAAGGCCUUAUGGUUGUAAAGCACUUUAAGCGAGGAGGAGGCUACUUUAGUUAAUACCUAGAGAUAGUGGACGUUACUCGCAGAAUAAGCACCGGCUAACUCUGUGCCAGCCGCCGCCGUAA